rnacentral:rRNA from 1 species
GAUGAACGCUGGCGGCGUGCCUAAUACAUGCAAGUCGAGCGAACAGACGAGGAGCUUGCUCCUCUGACGUUAGCGGCGGACGGGUGAGUAACACGUGGAUAACCUACCUAUAAGACUGGGAUAACUUCGGGAAACCGGAGCUAAUACCGGAUAACAUGUUGAACCGCAUGGUUCAACAGUGAAAGACGGUCUUGCUGUCACUUAUAGAUGGAUCCGCGCCGCAUUAGCUAGUUGGUAAGGUAACGGCUUACCAAGGCAACGAUGCGUAGCCGACCUGAGAGGGUGAUCGGCCACACUGGAACUGAGACACGGUCCAGACUCCUACGGGAGGAAGCAGUAGGGAAUCUUCCGCAAUGGGCGAAAGCCUGACGGAGCAACGCCGCGUGAGUGAAGAAGGUCUUCGGAUCGUAAAACUCUGUUAUUAGGGAAGAACAAAUGUGUAAGUACCUAUGCACGUCUUGACGGUACCUAAUCAGAAAGCCACGGCUAACUACGUG